rnacentral:lncRNA from 1 species
CAUGAUACAUUCCUCCCAUUUCUAAAAACCCAUGAAACAUGAGUCAAACUUGUCAUCUAUAGAUUCCUUACUCAUGUAUCAUUGUCCCAGAAAGAAUUUGUAAGGAUUGGAAGCAAGGAAAAUUUUUAGAAGCGAAAAGGAAGAGAAAAGAAAAAUUUCUGAACUUGGGUCGACCCAACCCAGAAUAGGGUCGACCCAACGUUGAGUCGACCUAAGAAAAUUCUUGAGUCGACCCAACGUCGGGACCCCACUGUUAAAAGGGGGACCCG